UGAGGGAAUAUUGGGUCAAUGGGCGGAAGCCUGAACCAGCCAUGCCGCGUGAAGGACUAAGGCCCUAUGGGUCGUAAACUUCUUUAGACGCAGAGCAAUAAGGGUCUCGAGAGAUCCGAUGAGAGUAUGCGUAGAAUAAGCAUCGGCUAACUCCGUGCCAGCAGCCGCGGUAAUACGGGGGGAUGCGAGCGUUAUCCGGAUUUAUUGGGUUUAAAGGGUGCGUAGGCUGUUCUGCAAGUCAGCGGUGAAAGCCCGGGGCUCAACCCCGGAAAUGCCGUUGAUACUGCGGGGCUGGAAUACGGAUGCCGUGGGAGGAAUGAGUAGUGUAGCGGUGAAAUGCAUAGAUAUUACUCAGAACACCGAUUGCGAAGGCAUCUCACGAAUCCGUU
rnacentral:rRNA from 1 species